UCGGAAAGGGGAAGCGGUGAGAUGGUUGAGCCAGAGGCCCCCGUGAGCAAACCCGCCGCUCCCCGAUGAGCCUCCACUUCUUGCUUUGCACCAGCAGCUGGAGAAGAAGCCCGGGGUGGUCGGGUGUGAGCGCGCACGGGGAACCCACCAGGGAGAUGCCACCAGCCCUGAGGGAUCCGACUGCAAGCCACGCUUACGGGAAUUCACUGACCACAGCAACCCUGCUUUGGAGUAUCCCAACCCCAAAAGCUUCCUCCCGUCCCUGAUAGCUGAGGAUGACACCUUCUGCACCAGUAUGGCUGAAGAAAAGGAGGACUCAUCUUCCAUGGAGUUGGAUGUCCCAGCAGCAGACAUGCACAGCAGCACAGAGGAUCUCCUCUCAGACUCUGCUCUCCACGGGUCGGAGUAUUACAGAGACCUGGGACUCCUGAGCCCACCAGUUGCCAAAACAGCACCAGAGGCGGCAGCGCAGCCAGAACAAGCAGCGCAGGCUGUGUCUGCUGUCCGCUUAUUGGAGGAGAGACCAAGGGCUCUGAGCAAAAUGUCUGUGGAUGUUGCUUUUUCCAACCCUGUUUCCUCCUCGGUACGUUACGGCGAGGCCGACUGCCGCUUUCUGAACAAAGGCCACGUUUGCUCCUGCGCAACGGUGCCAGAAGAUGGUACCAGCACUUCUGAGUGUCCUGCAGAGGCAGACAAAGAGCUGGACCUGCAGGAGGCCAAAGACUUCUUCCCCACGCUGGUGAGAUCCAUGUCUACCUCUCGGAGGCACAGCUGGGAGAGCCCUUUGUCACCCGUGGACUGCAAGCGCAGGUUCAGCCUGGAUACCACAGAGAUGGGCAGCGACCCAGAGCAGGAGGAUGUGGAGAAGGGGAGCCAGUCCUGCCCGCCGCCUCGUGUGUCCCUUCAGCUGCCCAAAGGGGAACUGGAAAGCUGGCGAGGGGGUGGCAUGGUGAUCAAAGUGGAGAUAGAGCCAUUGCACCCCAACCUCACUGUCAGCCCCGGCUCGGAGGAGGCGGUGAGUGUGCAAGGGCCGUGCACAUAUUGGCAGUGGGGCCAGCUGGGGGUGCAGGUGACACACGUGAGUGUCAGGCUGCAGGCUGGACUCCUUCGAUGCCAGCCUUGAACCAGGUAUGCCCAGACGUCUGAGGAACCUCAGCAAGGAUGGGAUUUCUCUGCUCUGAGACAAACUGCUACUUCUUGCAGGAUAAAGGCCCUGGGAGCUGGCUGAUGGCUCAGCCCUCUUUUCCCAUAAAUUUGUUGGAAUUACCCUUGCUGCAACCUGUGCCCGUUGCUUCUUGUCCUGUCACUGUGCCCCUCUAAGAAAAGUCUGGCUCCAUCUUUUCUACAAUCAGGGAGUCGAAGACAGCAGGGUCACCUCCCCAUUUCACACUGCUUUCCUCUGGGGAGUUUCUUUGGAUUCAAUUAAUAUUAAAAGGACAAUUGUAUCACAGUGCUAUGUAUCCUCUAAAUUUCCUGAGAAGGUUUUAGCCCCAAAUGGCAC
rnacentral:lncRNA from 1 species